rnacentral:tRNA from 1 species
GGAGGAGUCGGAUAGUGGUUUAUUCCACCGCACUUGAAAUGCGGCGGCCCGCAAGGGCCUCGUGAGUUCGAAUCUCACCUCCUCCGCCA